AUUGAACGCUGGAGGAAGGCCUAACACAAGCAAGUCGAGCGAGCGGCGGACGGAGGAGUAAUGUCUGGGAAACUGCCUGAUGGAGGGGGAUAACUAAUGGAAACGGGAGAUAAUAACGCAUACCAUCAGAUGUGCCAAGAUGGGAUUGGCGAGUGGGUGGGGUAACGGUUAACUUAGGCGACGAUACCUAGCUGGUCUGAUAGGAUGACCAGCCACACUGGACCUGAGACACGGUCCAGACUCCUACGGGAGGCAGCAGUGGGGAAUAUUGCACAAGGGGCGCAAGCCUGAUGCAGCCAGGCCGCGUGUGUGAAGAAGGCCUUCGGGUUGUAAAGCACUUUCAGCGGGGAGGCGUUACCCGCAGAAGAAGCACCGGCUAACUCCGUGCCAGCAGCCGCGGUAAUAC
rnacentral:rRNA from 1 species